GAUGAAGAACGCAGCGAAAUGCGAUACGUAAUGUGAAUUGCAGAAUUCAGUGAAUCAUCGAAUAUUUGAACGCAUAUUGCGCUCUCUGGUAUUCCGGAGAGCAUGCUUGUUUGAGUAUCAGUAAACACCUCAACUGCCUUUUCUUUUUUGAAAUGGGAGCUGGACUUGAGUGAUCCCAACACUUUUCUCACUGGAAAGUGGCGGGUCACUUGAAAUGCAGGUGCAGCUGGACUUUUCUCUGAGCUAUAAGCAUAUCUAUUUAGUCUGCCUAAAAAACAGAUUAUUACCUUUGCUGCAGCUAACAUAAAGGAGAUGAGUUCUUGUGCUGACUGAUGCAGGAUUCACAGAGACAGCUUUGCGGCUGACUUUGUAAACUCGAUCUCAAAUCAAGUAAGACUACCCGCUGAACUUAAGCAUAUCAAUAAGCGGAGGA
rnacentral:misc_RNA from 1 species